rnacentral:rRNA from 1 species
UUGGAGGAUCCUAUUGAA